rnacentral:pre_miRNA from 1 species
AAAAAACUCAUAUGGGAGGUGGACACAUAACAUAAGCCUUCUUAUUAUAUUUUACUAUAAGAAGGCUUCAUAUUAUGUGUCCACCUUUGAGUUCCCAUCAGGU